AUGGUGCAGUGCUGCCAUCGUCGCCGAGCCCCCACGAUGGUCCUCAAACUUGACUUCGCCAAGGCGUUCGACUCCAUCAACUGGGUGAGCUUGCGCGCUGCGAUGGAGGUCCGGGGGUUCCCGUCGCUCUGGUGCGACUGGAUGGAUGCCCUCUUCCACUCCUUGAGCUCGGCGGUCCUGUUGAACGGGGUGCCGGGGCGGUGGUUCCAGGUGCGCUGCGGCCUCAGGCAGGGGGACCCCAUCUCCCCUACCUCUUCCUCCUCGUCGCUGACGUGCUCCAGUGGCUCAUCCGUCAGGAUGAGGUGCUACGCCACCCUCUCCUUCUGGACGCGCCUGCGGUGGUGUUGCAGUACGCCGAUGACACGCUGA
rnacentral:rRNA from 1 species